ACAUAGGAUGGACCACUUUUCUCGAAGGAUCACCUCUCCAAACUCCAGAGCUUUGCACAUGUGUAAGAAAUGUGUGACUUGUUCAAGGUGACAUGACAAAUGGCAGAACAUGAGCUGGAACCUAGGCCUUUAAGCCUGGCUUAGUGCUCUUUCUAUAGCAUUGUGUUAUGUCCAAGUUCACUCUAAUUAGAAAGAGUCAGGCGCAAAUUCUAACCACUGUGGAAACCAGGACUUACGUUGUGGCUAAAAGUCCAGGCUUUUAUGGGACAUAAUGAUGUGAAUGUAAACAAAAGACCCUGGUGGGCUAGGGUCAAAAAUUGCAGGGAUCUCACUAAAAAGUGAAGAUGGGGGAAGGAAAGAUAGGGCUGUUGUAGACAAUAGCCUCAGAAUGCAUCUUGCUUGCUUUCUAAGCAGUUGUAUUCAUUUCCACGAGGGGGCAGCAGCUCCUGGGCAGCCUUGCAUAGGCUGUGCACAGCUCAGUAAUGGUGAUCGGCAAUUUUCACUGGCCGCAGCAGCAGGGAGGUCAACAGUUCACAGAACCCCACAGUGGCGGGGUUUUGUUGUUUUGUCUUUUUGAGCUACAUUAGCUUGGGAUCUAUAAGGGAGCAUGCUCUAAUAAAAAUACACCAAAGCAAGCCAACACUGGAGCAAAGAGCCCUGUGGAAUCAGGAGAUCUGGGUUAAGAAGGAUCAAACAGAUCCUUUGGUCAAACGCUCCUGAUAACUAAAAGCCCGUUUAAUAUUUGAAACGGUGAUACCCAGCUUCUGGUGCAUUUGGAGCUGCCUCAGGAGGCACCCACUCCAGGGAUGGGCCUCUGGCGCUCAAAAUGUUCUUCCUAAGUCAAGGUAAAUCUUGCCACCGAGUUCACACAGUGCUGUCCUUGGCCUGUUUCCUGGGGCUCUUCCAUGCAAUAACCCUCCACUGCUUUGAUGAUAGUUGCCAGCUUUUCUAAGACUUCAGUCUAAUUAUCUCUACUUCCCUUGACCAUCCCUCAUUGGCGAAAUGAUUCAUCCCUCCAAUAAGUGAAUAGAAUUAUAGGACCCAGAUUUACCCUUGUAGAACAGGCUUCUUUAUAUUUUUGUUCUUAGAAUCAAGUUCUCUGGAACUGAGGUAAAAAACCUUGAACAUGGUCUUCAGGACCGACUUCCAUGUUGGCCAGGCCUCUGAGCCCAGCUUGGGUACUGGGGACCUCAGCAUUCUCUGAGCUGAGACAUUCUGCCCUCUGGUUCUGUUGUACUUUCCCUGGGACCUACUGUUCAGUAGCACUCAUGUGUAACCUAGCACCAGGGAAGUUUCACUAAUGGUUUACUUAGUAGAUACUCAUUGUUCCGAUGAGACUCAGAAAGUACAGAUAAG